UAAUACGGAGGGUGCAAGCGUUAAUCGGAAUUACUGGGCGUAAAGCGCGCGUAGGCGGUUGGAUAAGUCAGCUGUGAAAGCCCCGGGCUCAACCUGGGAACUGCAUUUGAUACUGUCCGACUUGAGUAUGGUAGAGGGGGGUGGAAUUCCCGGAGUAGCGGUGAAAUGCGUAGAUAUCGGGAGGAACACCAGUGGCGAAGGCGGCCCCCUGGACCAAUACUGACGCUGAGGUGCGAAAGCGUGGGGAGCAAACAGG
rnacentral:rRNA from 1 species